rnacentral:rRNA from 1 species
GGGUUAGAAAGUCCGUUUCGGCGGAUUGAUCAGCCCCAGAGGAAGUCACGGCUAACUUCGUGCCAGCAGCCGCGGUAAGACGAAGGUGGCUAGCGUUGUUCGGAAUCAUUGGGCUUAAAGGGCGCGUAGGCGGGGAUGCGAGCGUCUUGUGAAAUCCCCCGGCUUAACCGGGGAAUUGCUGGGCAAACUGCAUCUCUUGAGGCAAGCAAGGGUGUGUGGAACUCUUGGUGGAGCGGUGGAAUGCGUAGAUAUCAAGAGGAACGCCGAAGGUGAAGACAGCACACUGGGCUUGUACUGACGCUGAGGCGCGAAAGCGUGGGGAGCAAACAGGAUUAGAUACCCUGGUAGUCCACGCUGUAAACGAUGCCUACUAGGUUGUGGGAGUUCUGACACUCUCGCAGCCGAAGCAAAAGUGUUAAGUAGGCCGCCUGGGGAGUACGGUCGCAAGGCUAAAACUCAAAGGAAUUGAC